GACCAUUUUUAGCAACUUCACCAAAGUCCCAACCUUCACCAUAUAUAUAGAUACUUGAACCAUCAACUCCAUUUCUUUCAUUUGUUAGGCUGAGUAGCGCAUCUUUUGCUUUCAUCAUUGUACUUUUCAUUAUAUGGCCCAUAAGGUCAAACCGGAAUCCAUCAACCUUGUAGUUAACUGCCCAGCUCAAAAGAUCAUCAAUAAUCAAGCGCUCAACCAUAUAAUGCUCACUGGCAGUGUUAUUCACACAUGUACUAUUUUCAAUAAAUCCGUCAUUGUUCCUUCUCAGAUAAUAACCUGGAACAACCUUAUCAAGAACAGAAUUCUCAUCAAAAGGCCCACUUCCAUGCAAAUGAUUGUAGACAACAUCCAACACAACCCGAAGACCAAUGUGGUUAAGUGCCUGAACCAUCUUUCUGAACUCAAUGGUGCGGCAAGGACCAUUUGGAUUGCUUGCAUAACUUCCUUUAGGGACCCCCCAGAGAACAGGAUUGUACCCCCAAUUAUACCCAUCAUCAUUUUGGAUUGCAGUAAUAUGAGCUUGUUGCUCAACUGAAUCCGGUGGUAAUUUUUCUAGCAUGUUGUUAUCCACAGACUUCCAGUUCUCCCUAACAUCGUCAACGCCAGCAAAUUGAAAGGUUGGCAGCAAAUGGACAUGAGUAAUGCCAGCAUUUGAUAAUUUC
rnacentral:misc_RNA from 1 species